rnacentral:rRNA from 1 species
UACGGGGGGAGCAAGCGUUGUUCGGAUUUACUGGGCGUAAAGGGCUCGUAGGCGGCCAACUAAGUCAGACGUGAAAUCCCCAGGCUCAACCUGGGAACUGCGUCUGAUACUGGAUGGCUUGAAUCCGGGAGAGGGAUGCAGAAUUCCAGGUGUAGCGGUGAAAUGCGUAGAUAUCUGGAGGAAUACCGGUGGCGAAGGCGGCAUCCUGGACCGGCAUUGACGCUGAGGAGCGAAAGCCAGGGAGCAAACGGG